UACGGAGGAGGCAAGCGUUAUCCGGAAUUAUUGGGCGUAAAGCGUCCGCAGGUGGCGAUUCAAGUCUGCGGUUAAAGACUGGGGCUUAACCCUGGAAAGGCCGUGGAAACUGAAACGCUAGAGUGCAGUAGGGGUAGAGGGAAUUCCCGGUGUAGCGGUGAAAUGCGUAGAGCUCGGGAAGAACAUCGGUGGCGAAAGCGCUUUGCUGGACUGCAACUGACACUCAGGGACGAAAGCUAGGGGAGCGAAUGGG
rnacentral:rRNA from 1 species